CCCUCUCUUUCCGAGGGCCUUCCUUUCUCUUCUCUAAGUUUCUCGCCAUUCACCAGCAUUUUGUGGAGCGAUCGAAGCAGCGCGGCUAUGGCGUCGCUUCUUCUCCACGAUCUGGCCGGCGCCGCAUUGAUCUAGCGGACGGGGGCUAUCGCUAAGUCUCUUUUGUCGGUAGAGGCGCGGGCCUUGUGGGAUCACGAAGCCGCCGACGCGGAAGACGCAGUGAAGCUGCUGCCGAUCGGUGGAAAUCUCACCUCAAAAGCUUCGAUCGAGCUUUCCGGCGAGGAUCCGAGGUAAAAGAGAGGUAGAUUUCUUGGAUAUUUCGGGCAGCGAUAGCGGAAUGCUGGCAUCGCAAGGCGGCAUGUGGUGAGAUUUCCAGGCUAGCUAUAGGCGCGCGCACGACGAUGAAGCUCCCGAAAUAUUUGAGGAGGAAGAACGGAUCUUCGUCAGCGUUUUCCAGCUCCAACGAGUCGAGAUCAUCCAAGUCGGCAAUGGAGGGCGAUCUCAAGGCCCCGCUCAGCAGAUCCCAAUCGGCCGAGAUCUCCUCCGACUCCUCCUCCUCCUCCUCGGCUCACAGCAGCAUGAACAAGCAGCAGCAUCCCAGGCACAUCCAGGAGCUCGAGCACGCCUUCCGCUACUUCGACGCCAACGGCGAUGGCAAGAUCUCGGUGGCGGAGCUCGGGGGAGUGCUCAAAUCCCUGGGCGAGAACCCGAGCGAGGAGGACUUGAGAACGAUGGUCCGGGAAGUUGACGCGGACGGGGAUGGGUUCGUGGAUUUCGACGAGUUUGUGCAUCUCAACACGGAGAUCUUGGGCGACGCGCUGGCCGCGAGCGUGGAGGAGCUCAAGGCCGCGUUCUACGUCUUCGACACGGACAAGAACGGCUACAUUUCGGCGGAGGAGCUCUACAAGGUCAUGUUUAACUUGGGGGAGAAGGGGGUGACAAUGGAGGAUUGCAACCGGAUGAUUGGGGGAGUCGACUCGGAUGGCGAUGGGUUUGUGAACUUCGAGGAGUUCCAAAGGAUGAUGUUGAGCAGCAGCAGCAGCAGCGCUGCUCCCUCCACCGCAUGAUAGCGACGAAGCUUUUUUUCUUCUCCGCGCCAAGGCCUAGCUCAUCUAUCAAGCCAUGAUCACAAAACUUUGAAGCUCCUUCCUCCCAAAUCUUGGGGAACCUUUUAAGAUCUCUUUAAACUUUGGCUCAUCUCAUCUCCUUUUUCCUUGAACCCUGCCUUUUUCUUCGCAGUCUUCUCAGUAAUUUAUAAUGCAAGAAGCUCCCAUGAUCGAUAAUGGGGGAGUUUUAAAGCUUGUUUGUGGACGGUGUUUAUUAUAGGUGUUGGCCCGCGUAGCCCCGAGUGUGGCCGGACAACUGUGAUUGACAAACAAUUGUCCUAGCAGGUGCGCAAAGAGCGCUGAUUUGUGACGAAAGCGAGUAACUUACUAGGUAAGCUUAAAGCUGCUGCUGCUGCUGCGCGAUUUCCAAAAGGGAAAAAACUUGAUGGGCGCUGGUUGCGCAUUCAUCACUGCCGCGUUUUUGACCAGUGCCGGCCUUGGAAGAAGCGUGACAAAAACGGGUGCUGCGAAGAGGAAGGAAAGCGUGCCCGACUGACACGACGAGACGACUGUGGCGCAAUCUUUUCUCUCCUCUUUUUCGCGGCAAGCACCAAAGCGGCGGUGGUCCAGUGAGAAGUUGGGAGUUCAUUCUCGUUUUUUUGUUUUCGAUGGAAACUCUCGGCGCAGAUCUGGACGGAAACAUUGAUAUUGGGCUCCAAGAGCGCGACAAUUGCUCUGCGGCCUGGCCUGGCCUGGCCUGGCCUACACCGGACUGGAGAAAAAAUCUGGCUUUCCAGUACGACAAGCUUGCCGUCCUUCGUGCUGCUUCGCGGAGCGCCAAAGUCAGAGCUACAAUUUCUAUCCAUGGCUCGCCCCGCCGCGAGGAAAAAGACGUGCGCCUGAGGCGGGCGCUCACGCGACUUCGAAGUUUCCAGCGGGGGCCAAAUAGAUUUUUAUUCUUCCUUUUCUUCUCUUUUCAUCACCGACUUGCGAGAAAACGCGCUGCUGCUAAAACUCGUUCUUUUACUCGGCUUACUCGGCCUGCCGCGAAGAACAGAAGAACUCACUUUUCA